rnacentral:rRNA from 6 species
AACGACUCUCGGCAACGGAUAUCUCGGCUCUCGCAUCGAUGAAGAACGUAGCGAAAUGCGAUACUUGGUGUGAAUUGCAGAAUCCCGUGAACCAUCGAGUUUUUGAACGCAAGUUGCGCCCUAGGCCUCCUGGUCGAGGGCACGCCUGCCUGGGCGUCACGC